rnacentral:rRNA from 1 species
CGGGUGAGUAACACGUGGAUAACCUACCUAUAAGACUGGGAUAACUUCGGGAAACCGUAGCUAAUACCGGAUAAUAUUUUGAACCGCAUGGUUCAAAAGUGAAAGACGGUCUUGCUGUCACUUAUAGAUGGAUCCGCGCUGCAUUAGCUAGUUGGUAAGGUAACGGCUUACCAAGGCAACGAUGCAUAGCCGACCUGAGAGGGUGAUCGGCCACACUGGAACUGAGACACGGUCCAG